rnacentral:rRNA from 1 species
UACGUAGGUGGCAAGCGUUAUCCGGAAUUACUGGGCGUAAAGCGCACGCAGGCGGUCUUGUAAGUUUGACGUGAAAGCUCCCGGCUUAACUGGGAGAGGUCGUUGAAGACUGCAAGACUUGAGGAAAUGAGAGGGGUGUAGAAUUCCCGGUGUAGCAGUGAAAUGCGUAGAGAUCGGGAGGAACAUCCGUGGCGAAGGCGACUACCUGGACCAGCACUGACACUGAGGCACGAAAGCGUGGGGAGCAAACAGG